CGAACGCUGGCGGCAGGCCUAACACAUGCAAGUCGAACGAACCUUUCGGGGUUAGUGGCGGACGGGUGAGUAACACGUGGGAACGUGCCUUUAGGUUCGGAAUAACUCAGGGAAACUUGUGCUAAUACCGAAUGUGCCCUUCGGGGGAAAGAUCUAUCGCCUUUAGAGCGGCCCGCGUCUGAUUAGCUAGUUGGUUGAGGUAAUGGCUCACCAAGGCGACGAUCAGUAGCUGGUCUGAGAGGAUGAUCAGCCACAUUGGGACUGAGACACGGCCCAAACUCCUACGGGAGGCAGCAGUGGGGAAUCUUGCGCAAUGGGCGAAAGCCUGACGCAGCCAUGCCGCGUGAAUGAUGAAGGUCUUAGGAUUGUAAAAUUCUUUCACCGGGGACGAUAAUGACGGUACCCGGAGAAGAAGCCCCGGCUAACUUCGUG
rnacentral:rRNA from 1 species